UACAGAGGGGGCAAGCGUUGUUCGGAAUUACUGGGCGUAAAGGGCGCGUAGGCGGCCUCUUAAGUCGAACGUGAAAUCCCCGGGCUCAACCCGGGAACUGCGUCCGAUACUGGGGGGCUUGAAUCCGGGAGAGGGAUGUGGAAUUCCAGGUGUAGCGGUGAAAUGCGUAGAUAUCUGGAGAACACCGGUGGCGAAGGCGAGUCUCUGGGAUGAGUGCUGACGCUGAGGCGCGAAAGCCAGGGGAGCAAACGGG
rnacentral:rRNA from 1 species